rnacentral:rRNA from 1 species
AAAUUGAAGAGUUUGAUCAUGGCUCAGAUUGAACGCUGGCGGCAGGCCUAACACAUGCAAGUCGAACGGUAACAGGAAACAGCUUGCUGUUUCGCUGACGAGUGGCGGACGGGUGAGUAAUGUCUGGGAAACUGCCUGAUGGAGGGGGAUAACUACUGGAAACGGUAGCUAAUACCGCAUAAUGUCGCAAGACCAAAGAGGGGGACCUUAGGGCCUCUUGCCAUCGGAUGUGCCCA